rnacentral:rRNA from 1 species
AUUGAACGCUGGCGGCAGGCCUAACACAUGCAAGUCGAACGAGUGGCGGACGGGUGAGUAAUGUCUGGGAAACUGCCCGAUGGAGGGGGAUCACUACUGGAAACGGUAGCUACUACCGCACACCAUCGGCUGUGCCCAGUUGGGAUUAGCUAGUAGGUGGGGUAAAGGCUCACCUAGGCGACGAUCCCGAACUGGUCUGAGAGGAUGACCAGCCACACUGGAACUGAGACACGGUCCAGACUCCUACGGGAGGCAGCAGUGGGGAAUAUUGCACAAUGGGCGAAAGCCUGAUGCAGCCAUGCCGCGUGUGUGAAGAAGGCCUUCGGAUUGUAAAGCACUUUAAGCGGGGAGGCGUUACCAACAGAAGAAGCACCGGCUAACUCCGUGCCAGCAGCCGCGGUAAUAC